AUAAAUUGGUUUAGAUAUGUUGGUUAAACUUAAACUGAUAUUGGUUUAGAGAUUUUAGUUGGUUUAAUUCAAUUUUACAAAAUUUGAUGGGUUAAUUGGGUAAACCAUUGAAACCAUUAACCAUUCCAACCCAACUCAUUUUACUCACCAAACCAAUUAACCCAAUAACUCAUUUGACCCAUCAACUCAUUUGAGUCAAAAAUUUUAACUCAUUAGGGUUCAUGGGUUGAGUUGAGUUGGGUUGACCCAUGAAUUUUGACCCAUUUUGACACCCCUAUAUAUAAACAAUUCU
rnacentral:sRNA from 1 species